rnacentral:rRNA from 1 species
UAGGGAAUCUUCGGCAAUGGGGGGAACCCUGACCGAGCAACGCCGCGUGAGUGAAGAAGGUUUUCGGAUCGUAAAGCUCUGUUGUUAAGGAAGAACGAGUGUGAGAAUGGAAAGUUCAUGCUGUGACGGUACUUAACCAGAAAGGGACGGCUAACUACGUGCCAGCAGCCGCGGUAAUACGUAGGUCCCGAGCGUUGUCCGGAUUUAUUGGGCGUAAAGCGAGCGCAGGCGGUGAGAAAAGUCUGAAGUGAAAGGCAGUGGCUCAACCAUUGAAGGCUUUGGAAACUGUUUAACUUGAGUGCAGAAGGGGAGAGUGGAAUUCCAUGUGUAGCGGUGAAAUGCGUAGAUAUAUGGAGGAACACCGGUGGCGAAAGCGGCUCUCUGGUCUGUAUCUGACGCUGAGGCUCGAAAGCGUGGGGAGCGAACAGG